UACGUAGGGUGCAAGCGUUGUCCGGAAUUAUUGGGCGUAAAGAGCUCGUAGGCGGUCUGUCGCGUCUGCUGUGAAAACUCGGGGCUUAACCCCGGGCCUGCAGUGGGUACGGGCAGACUAGAGUGCGGUAGGGGAGACUGGAAUUCCUGGUGUAGCGGUGAAAUGCGCAGAUAUCAGGAAGAACACCCGUGGCGAAGGCGGCUCUCUGGUACGUGACUGACGCUGAGACGCGAAAGCGUGGGGAGCGAACAGG
rnacentral:rRNA from 1 species